GAUGAACGCUGGCGGCGUGCCUAAUACAUGCAAGUCGAGCGAACAGAUGAGAAGCUUGCUUCUCUGAUGUUAGCGGCGGACGGGUGAGUAACACGUGGGUAACCUACCUAUAAGACUGGGAUAACUCCGGGAAACCGGGGCUAAUACCGGUUCAUAUUUUGAACCUCAUGGUCCAAUAGUGAAAGAAGGUUUCGGCUGUAACUUAUAGAUGGACCCGCGCCGAAUUAGCUAGUUGGUAAGGUAACGGCUUACCAAGGCGACGAUACGUAGCGGACCUGGGAGGGUAAUCGGCCACACUGGAACUGAGACACGGUCCAGACUCCUACGGGAGGCAGCAGUAGGGAAUCUUCCGCAAUGGGCGAAAGCCUGACGGAGCAACGCCGCGUGAGUGAUGAAGGUCUUCGGAUCGUAAAACUCUGUUGUUAGGGAAGAACAAAUUUGUUAGUAACUGAACAAGUCUUGACGGUACCUAACCAGAAAGCCACGGCCAACUACGUGCCAGCCGCCGCGGUAA
rnacentral:rRNA from 1 species